GGGCGCACGGCGCACGGGUGCGUAACACGUGGGCAAUCUGCCCUUCGGUGGGGAAUAACCCCGCGAAAGCGGGGCUAAUUCCGCAUUACAUUCCGGGAACCCUGGUUUCCGGUCUCAAAGGCCGCAAGGUCGCCGGAGGAGGGGCCCGCGCCCGAUUAGCUUGUUGGUAGGGUAACGGCCUACCAAGGCUAUGAUCGGUAGCCGGUCUGAGAGGAUGGCCGGCCACACUGGAACUGAGACACGGUCCAG
rnacentral:rRNA from 1 species